AAUGCACGCUGCCACCGGACCGGGGGGUCUGUGGCGAACACGGUCGUUAGGGCGGUGACCUGGUCGUCAGGGGGGUGACCUGGUCGUCAGGGGGGAGACCUGGUCGUCAGGGGGGAGACCUGGUCGUCAGGUGGGAGACCUGUUGGAGGACAGCCUUAUGAGGAGGCUCUGUGACACCAGAGCCUCUCCUGGCAGCUCUCCACCCUCCGUCGCUACAUGGAGCUCAGGGAGAGCUGCCAGCGGUGCUCUGCAUGUCAUCACACAGGGCUGCUCACAAACACAGACCACGGAAUGCCCACAGGCAUGCCCGUACGCGCACAAACGCACAACGCGCGCACACGCACUGUGCUCCAGUGUUGUGCUCCACUCCACUCCCCCCCUCCCCCCCCCCCCCCUGGACAAUCGAUUCGUUGAGAGCCAGAAAUAAUGCAACAAGAGAAACAUGAUAUUGACGGUUUGCAACAACGUUAAUCAUUAUGGUUUGAGCUUUGUUGGGGACCGGGGUGUGUGUGUGUGUGUGUGUGUGUGUGUGUGUGUUAUUAGAGACCAGUGUGUGUGUGUGUGUGUGUGUGCAUGUUAGGGACUAGUGUGUGUGUGUGUUUGUGUUAGAGACCAAUGUGUGUGUUUGUGUUAGUGUGCGUUUGUGUGUUAGGGACCAGUGUUAGUGUGUGUGUGUGUAGGGACCAGUGUGUGUGUUUGUGUUAGGACCAGUGUGCGUUUGCGUUAAAGACCAGUGUGCGUGUUUGUGUUAGUGUGCGUGUGUGUGUUAGGGACCAGUGUGCGUGUCUGUGCUAGUGUGCGUGUGUGUGUUUGGGACCAGUGUACGUGAUGGUGAUAGUGUGUGUGUGUGUGUGUGUGUGUGUGUGUAUUUCCUCCCAGCGCCGCCAAAGAGCAAUGGAAAGUGGCUCCUGGUUUGGGUUUCCUGGUUAUGUAAUCCUUUUCCCUGGGCACUGUCUGAACUCUAGAGUUUCCACUGCGCCUGAUUCAGCACAAAGGCCCUGUUCUCUGUGUGGCUGGCUGCCACAACCUGUUGACCGACUGCACACAUCAGCUGGCCCCGCCCCUCAACACAGUCCAGGGCCUGUCGCCACACUGUCACACAUCUGGAACUACUCACAGAACUUCCUGGCUUUAAUAUAUACUAUGUCUGAUGUGCAGGUGUCCUUUACUGAUUGUGUGUGUGUGUGUGUAUGUGUGUGUGUGUGUGUUUGUGUUUUUUUAUCUUGAUCACUUCAUUAGGUUUACUUUGACAUAUUUACUCCGUUCUGUUAAGACAGUUUGUUCUGUUAGGACGCAGUUUGUUCUGUGAGGACGCAGUUUGUUCUGUGAGGACGCAGUUUGUUCUGUGAGGACACAGUUUGUUCUGUUAGGAUAGAGUCUGUUAGGAUAGUCUGUUAGGACACAGUUUGUUCUGUGAGGACACAGUUUGUUCUGUUAGGAUAGAGUCUGUUAGGAUAGUCUGUUAGGACACAGUUUGUUCUGUUAGGACACAGUUUGUUCUGUUAGGACACAGUUUGUUCUGUUAGGACACAGUUUGUUCUGUUAGGAUAGAGUCUGUUAGGAUAGUCUGUUAGGACGCAGUUUGUUCUGUUAGGACGCAGUUUGUUCUGUUAGGACGCAGUUUGUUCUGUUAGGAUGCAGUUUGUUCUGUUAGGACACAGUUUGUUAUGUUAGGACACAGUUUGUUGUGUUACUGUCCUCUGUUAGGAAGCAGUUUGUUCUGUUAGGAAGCAGUUUGUUCAGUUAGGACGCAGUUUGUUCUGUUAGGAUAUUUGUUCCGUUACGCCGCACGGUUGACAAAAGAAGCCGGUUAUCGCCCGGUUAAUCUUUCCAUUGGCGGCAACUCUCGUGUUUCAAAUUAUAAGCUCGCUGUUCAGCCGCCCCUACUCUGGACAAAAUGUUGUCCUCAAUAAUUUAUGUCCACGCCGUGCAGAGAUACGGUGGUUCUGGGUCCUGUCUGCGGAGUGGUAAUGACGAUGUUCUCACU